rnacentral:lncRNA from 1 species
AAUAAUAACAUGAUAAUCAUCAUAAAAUCGUAUACACUUUGUAACAGAACACAUGUCCUACUUUUGCACCUCAAUAAUCAGAAAAUAAAUUUCCUCUUUUACCAGUCUACUAGUAUCCAUGGGGAUCCAUAGGGGGUCUCCGCUAUACGUGAACCAUUAACAUUAAUAACCUGAUUCUAGGGCCGUCCCCAUACCCUAUCUGGUAUGGGCGCCAAAACCAUAAGCCUCAAUACCCCGUCCGGUAUAAGGGUGAAACGGGCCGUCCCCAUACCCCGUCCGGUAUAAGGGUGAAACGGGCCAUCCCCAUACCCCGUCCGGUAUGGGCGCCAAAACACAUAAGAUCUCCAUACCCCGUCCGGUAUGAGAGACCACGUUCCCGAUAGGGUUCCCUACGGACCCGGUCCGUCCACCAUCUCCGAGGAUAUCUAGUCAGACUGUCCACAUUAUUUAUUUAUCAAUUCACAUAACUUUUUUGCUAUUUUCUUUGGUCUCAAUCAUCCAAUCAUACACAACAUGUAAACCAGUAAUUGA